AGGUGUUUUGAUGUUGACAAAUAAUUACAUGAAAAUGUCAUCAUAAAAUCAUGUCUCCUAAUCCUGUAAUCGAAUUUGCGUUCACAAAUGUUCAAGUAGGUAAUGGCAGGUGUUUAACUGCCACUUGCAAAUUUUGUACCACUGGUAAAAAAACUGUAAGUUUUUACCAAAAUAGCUGUGGAAACCUGAUUCGGCAUUUGAAGCGUCAUCACAUUAAUGCUUAUCGUAUGUACUUCAAUAAAUAUGUUAAAAAUAAGUUAUCAAGUGUGAAACCAGUAAUCCAAUUCAAAUCGUUGACAGUUGCAUCACCUAACAUUGAGACAACUAGCUCUAUUACAUCUCGUCUCCCCAUGCAUGCAACCUCAUGCACUUCAUCUUGCAAUACCAUUGCCCCUUGUGGCAAAACCCAGCUCCCACAAAGCACUGUUUCAUGUGAUGCAACCCAGCUCCAAAGUAGCGCAUCUUCCUUUGAUGCAACUCAGCUGCCACGUAGUGCAACUUCAUGUGAUGCAACCCAGCUUCCACUUAGCACAAAUUCCUUUGACGCAACUUGGCUGCAAGGUAGCGCAACUUUAUGUAAUGCAACCCAGCUCCCAUGUAACAAAAAUUUCUUUGAUGCAACUCAGCUGCAACAUAGUGCAACUUCAUGUUAUGCUAUCCAGCUUCCACAUAGCGCAAUUUCCUUCGAUGCAACUCAGCUGCAAUGUAGCGCAGCUUCAUGUGACGCAACCCAGCUCCCAUGGAGCAAAACUUCCUUUGAGGCAACUCAGCUGCAACGUAGUGCAACUUCAUGUGCUGCAACCCAACUUCCACAUAGCGCAAGUUCCUUUGACGUAACUCAGUUGCCACAUAGUGCAACUUCGUGUAACGCAAACCAGCUACCACAUAGCGCAGCUUCAUUUGACACAACCCUGCUCCCAAAUGAGAAAAUUUUAUCUACUUCUGAACUACGUCUUCCUCAUUCAACUACGUCAUUUGUUCCACCUAUGGUGCAAAUUCCUACCAAAGUCGGCAAGUCAUCUGCAUCAGCAAGAGGAACAGUUGGGCAAAUGCCGAUAUGCAAACCUCAGUGCUCAGCCUGUGCGUUGCUUCUAUGCGCUAGAAAGUUUUAUUGUGCUUCUCUGCAAGCAGCAUUGCAAGAAUGUAAACAUGAAAAUGAUUGUUGUUGUAAAACAAUGUACAAUGGAUUUAUUAUUGAAGCAUGUGAAGAGACAAAUCUCUCAAAGAGCAUUGUCACAAAAAAGAAUGACAAAAGCUUUGUUUCACAAUAUGACUGCGAAAAAGAUGUCUUUACUCAUUACUGUAAGGUGUGCCUAAGUCACCAAAAUCCUUUAAAACAUUGUAAGAGUGGAGAAUCUUGGUGUGAUGGGAUGACCUUCACAGAAACCAGAAGCAAGAAUGCAGCCAAGAAGAGGCACUUGCUAAGCGUUCAGCACCAAGAAGCUCUCAAAUUCAGCAGGUGUGAAGAUAAACAACAGAUGAAACUCAAACGUCCAACCACCGAUGAGUGCAAAAAUGCUACUAAGAAUUCAAUGGUAGCUGGUAUAUUCAUGGCUACCAAUUCAUUGUCAUUUAGACUAUAUCCAGCAUUGUGCACGCUACUUGCCAUUAUUUGCCCACCACAUUUGAGCCAUCCUUUGGGCAACCAACAUCACACGCACACGGCAGUUCAAAACAUAAUGCAUGCCAAUUACCGAGCCUGUGCCAUCACAAUGAAGAACCAUUUUUCUCAAAUCUUUCCAGCCACAAAGAGUACUAGAAAAUUCAUGAUUAGUUGUGACAAAGGGACUGCUCCCAAGGAUGUCUCUCGUCAAGUGAUUGUUGCAUCGUACAUUGCUGACAAUGGACUACCAAAAGAAGUUCUUCUAUGUGUUUCAAUGCUACAGCAAGGGGAUGCAAUGGCAACAACAAAUCAUGUGAAAGAAACUGUGGCAUUAUUCAUGGAGCCAUCUUCAGUUGCUUUCAUUUGCACUGACAAAGCUUCUGUGUACACUGAAGAGAAAGGCAGCCUCAUUGACCUGCUCAAAGCCUCUGAUGGAUAUCACAAAUUGAUUGGACUCCCCGAUUUUUGUCAUAAAGUUGAAAAUUUGUUGAACAGAACCAUGCCAAAAUGGGUCAGUGAUACGUUAACCAUGUGCAGAUCUGUUGUAGCAUUCAUUAAUGAUCACAAUAUUGUUAAAAAUCAUGUUCACAACUUCAUCAAUGUUGUUCGCGGAACCACUUUUACUGCUAUCCCAAAUCAAUGUGACACUCAUUUUACUGAAUAUCUUCACUAUUAUUUAGAUGCAAUUUUGAAGAACAUCCACAUUUUAUUUCAAGCUCUACCAGUAUUGAUGAAUGAUGCAAAUGCCCUUGGAGAAAAUGCUAAAAGAAUUUUAAAACUUGUUGCAAAUGAAUCUUUCGUUGUAAGAGCGAUGAUGAUCCGACAAGUCUACAAAACCAUCUCCAGCAAGGAAAAAUUGGCCAAAGACUCCUGCUUUGGACCAUUUGACUACAAACACCAAGUAGAAAGCAUCAAACCUGACUUAAAUGAGUUAAAGUCACUUUCUCCUGAGAUUAAAAGCUUUUUGAACGAUGGAAAUCUUAAAUUCAUCUCUGAUACCAAUUAUGCUACAGACGGCCACGAUGUGCUUUUGGAAGAGGUAAUUUCAAAUCUGGACCUGAAAACAAGAAACAAAGUUGAACGAUCAAGAGAUACUGUGAUUUCACUAACUGAAGAAAAUUCAAAAUGGAUCGAAGAAAUUUGUAAUGAAGCUCCCAACUAUCUAGUAAUCCCCACUCCUAUUCGUCUUGCAACAGAUUUAUUUUCGAUUCACAAAAACAAACAUUCUGCAUCCAUAAAAAACCUUUUUGAUUCUGUGAACAUAAAAUUUGAAUCAUGUGAUGAUGAAUGCAAAGGAUUUCUUGAGUGCACUUGCUUAGAAAAUGAUUACUUGAAAUUCAUGGAAAUUUUUCGAAGCGAGUGGCAAGCUGGAGCCAACAACAAACUGAUCAAACACGGAAGUGAGACUUUACAAUCCUAUACUGAAGCAUUCGCUCAUUAUAUCAGCAGUAACAACGACAAAUCCAAGUAUCCAGUCAACAUCAUUCGUUGCCUUGAAAUCAUCCAGCUCAUGAAGCCAACUCUGUCUGCCACAGAGAGAGUGAUGUCACAUGUUGCCAAUACUGUUCACAAUCUAUUUGACUCUAAGUAUGUGUACAAGACAGAACCUGAUGAGAAAGAUUUAAUUGAUAAUGUGAAUAAUGAAGUUUUUUUAAAGUGCAAUACCAACAUGGUUCAACAUGAUGCUGAUCUUGCACGAACCAUUUUUCUAAGUGAUAAUCAUAGAGAAUGUUUGAUGAAAACAAAGAAGUGUACUGUAAAAAGUAAAACAAUCUCAAAUUACAUCGAGGAACUUGGCAGUGACGUCAUGAAGCGUAAUUUGCCCAAGCAAUGUCUGGUUCUUGAUCAGAAGAAAGUGGGCAGCAAAAAAAGAAAAAUUGAUUCUUGGUUAACAAAAAAAUCGGAACAUGAAGUCCCUUCUUCAUCCAAUUCUGACUCAGUCCUUCCUUCUUCAACAAAUGAAGCAGCCAUUGUACAACCAGAAGAAGUUAUAAUGCAUGCAUCUACGUAGGCAAACAAAGUAGUUGACAUCAGCUGUGCAAUAUCGCUAUCUUCCAGUUCCUUACCCGUAUUUUUAACAUCUCCAUCUCCACAGCCUCUAACCCAUCCAUUAGUAAAAAUACAAUAAUUAUUCCAAUCCUUCAACCGGGCAAACCUGGAAACCAGGGCUAUUCAUACCGUCCUAUCUCCCUCUGCCCUGCAGCCAAGAUCCUAGAGUGUCUUGUGCUCCCAUUCAUCUCAAGAUCUCUCACCACCAUCUCCUCACUACACGGUUUCAAACCGCGACACUCCUCAGUCACAGUGUCGACCACCCUCUCCUUCUAAGCAUGAUCGCAGCCUUUGACCUACAUCACAACUUGGUCUGCUGGCUGUGCUGCUACCUCAGAGGCAGGCAUUCAUCUUGUCUCUACCUCAGAACACAAUUGCUUUUCAGAGCUAUUCACUCAGGCAUUCCCCAUGGCUUGGUCAUCUUGCCAGCCCUCUUUAACCAUGUCAUCUCUGAUAUGCCAGUGCCAAUCCCCAACAUUGCCUCUAAAUCCCAACAUUGUCUCAAAUUGGUGGGCUGCCAAGUAACUGGGCAUGGCUCCUGGCAAGACCUUGGUCAUGCUCUUCACCCCAGAUACUCACCAAUGCUGAUCCCACCCAUCUGCCACCAUCUGCAACGGCAUCAUCCCACUGGACAAAACCCCCAAAAUCUUAGUUGUCACCUGGGAUACACACUUCAAGUUCUCCCCUCGUGUAAGAGCCAUAGCCACAAAAGCAAUGGGAUCUCUUUGCCUCUUGAAAGCCCUUGCUGGUACCAACUGGGGCUUCUCCAAGGAAGACAUUAUUGCCACCCACCAAACCAUCACGCACCCAAUCCUGAACUACGCGGCCCCAAUCUGGUACCCUGUUGCUGUACGCACAGCUAUUGCUAGCCUUCAAACCAUACAAAACACUGCACUGAGAUUAGCCACCGGCUGCCUCAAAAUGGCCCUGAUUGCCCAUCUUCUCCAGGAGACCGGCGUCCUCCCAUUGUCCGCUCACCUGGUCCUGGCUUGUGCCCAGUUCCUCGCCAGCGCUCUCCAGCCCUCCCAUACCUCAUUCCGCUUUGCUUCUGCUCCCCUUGGGGACCGCCCCAUGAAAGCCUCUGACCAGUCGAGGUUCGGCCAACUUUUCACACCAUUCUUUGCUAAAGAUAUCAUGCCUGCCAGUCCCUAUGGAGAGGCCAAGCAGUCCCUCCGCAGGGAGAUCGCCUCCUGCAUUGCGGCGGCUGAUGCUGUCAACGCCAUCCUUGCAGCCCCACCUGAUUGCAUCAGUGGAGGCCUCACUCCCUUGUCUUUACCAUUCGGCGCUAUCCCAGCUCCAUUUGGGAUACUGGAGCUCCAUGGCGCCCUACUUUCCUAGGAUCAAUUGCUCCCCUAGCUCCGCCUGCCUGGAUAGUGGGGAUCCCCUCCAGUCCGUCCAGCAUCUCUUUGCCUGUGACGCCUUCCCCACAUACCUCAGCAUCUCACUGUGGGACAGCCCCAUGGAAGCAGUGGCAUUCCUGGCCGCCCUCCCUGCCUUUGCCCAUCUCCCCCCUCUUCUGAUGCCUUCCCCCCCAACCACCACCUGAGCCACUCCCCCAGCAAGCGUGAAUCUGGUUGCAACUAACAACAAAUAUUGCUACAACCAGAAGAAUGUCAAGAAAGCCUGGUCGACAGUGCCUCAUAUAAUGUAGAAACUUGAAAGAACAGUAGUAACGAACAAACUGCAAGUGUACUGCAUGUGUGAAAUAAGUAGUGACGAACGAGAUAGAAAGAGAGGUAGAACUUCUACAUGGAUUUGGUGUGCUAAUAUGAAGACAUGUGAAUCGUAUCUCGAUCAUUUGGCUGCCAAGAAUGUUGAAGGAGCUGACUGAUUCCACCUGAAAUGCUUAAAAAUGAACAAACUGCCUGCUAACCACUGGAUGUGUAGUAGAUGUCGCAAUAAAAAAACUACAAACUUGGGGCAUAAGUUUGAUUGGGAAAAAUACCUAGGGUACAGCUUCAACGAGUUGACUGUACUAAUUUGUCGUCACUUAAAUUCACGCUCUCCAUUUUUUCAUGGUUUACUAACAUCAUACAAAGACAUAGUUUGUAUGCAAUCCGGACCGCAUUCGUUUGAGCUGGUUGGGAGUUGGAUGCUUACGUAUCUUCCAAAUUGGCUUCAGAAUCAAGAGUGCGUCUUUUACCGGCUGCAACGUUGUGCAGCCUCCUCAAGAUCUCCUUUGCUCAUCCGAGAGUGACGUGUCUCUACUGGCUACCUACCUCAUACCGGGCACAACGAUCUCCCUUGCUCAUCGAUACGACGAUGCCGAAAAUACGUCGGCCUCACAAAACUGCUCUGGCCACUGUUCUCGUGAAGAACAUCACUUCGAGAACGGCAGAAAAUGAUCUGCAUCAUCUCUUUCGAUGUUACAGCGAAGCCAUCGCCGAUGUCUACAUUCCUAAGAACAGCUUGACUGGAGCUAGCGAAGCCACCGCUCAAGUCAGAUUCUACUACGUUGACGCCGCAAGGGACGCUAUCGUGGCCCUGGAUGGCUGCAGGCUUGACGGUAACGUGCUAGAAUUGCUCCUCGACCACCUGCCCAGGAGCCUCGCGGAAGCAGCACUCAACGUGCCCCAACAAAUGAAGAGGCUCAAAAACUCCACCUAGGAGCGUGAAAAGCUUCUCAUGGCCAGCAUAACUCGACACAACGGCAAAUAAUAUCCUUGUUAUAGGCAUAGAUUUUAUUAAAUUGAUGAAUAUGCAUGCUCUAGUUGGUACAUUAAAUAAAUAGUAACAAAAAUGACGCAUCUUAUGGUGGAAAAAAAAUGUUUCUAGAUCUAAUCAUUUUAUACAUUAUCUAUAAAUCAAUUGAAUGCCAUGGGGGCGUCAACGUAAUUACGUUAAAUACCACGAGUUUUCCUAAAAGUUUUUGUAUAUACUUCUAUUGGCCAAAUGACUGUGAUAAUUUCGUGAAUAAAUGAAAUAUAAAACAAUGACAUUCA
rnacentral:misc_RNA from 1 species